rnacentral:misc_RNA from 1 species
AACGCAUCUUGCGCUCUGUGGUUAUUCCGCAGAGCAUGCUUGUUUGAGUAUCACGAACUCUCUCAACCCCGCCAUCUUUAACUAGAAGGUAGUUUGGGCUAUUGGAUCAUGACGGUUGUUGUUGAAACAUUACAACUCUGUUGAAAUAUAAGAAGCUGGAUCUUUCAUAUUUGCGGCUUGACCUAUUGUUAUAGAAACUAAAACGUCUCGAUAGGAACGCAAAACAGUUAGAAUGAGCUUACCAUAAAAUGGUUGUCUUUUUAAUUUAAGCAACUCUAGUAACGUUCGAUCUCAAAUCAAGUAGGACUACCCGCUGAACUUAA